GGGGAAUAUUGGGCAAUGGGCGAAAGCCUGACCCAGCGACGCCGCGUGAAGGAAGAAGGCCUUCGGGUUGUAAACUUUAGUAAGCAGGGAAGAAGAAAGUGACGGUACCUGCAGAGUAAGCCACGGCUAACUACGUGCCAGCAGCCGCGGUAAUACGUAGGUGGCGAGCGUUAUCCGGAAUUACUGGGUGUAAAGGGAGCGCAGGCGGGAAGACAAGUUGGAAGUGAAAUCUAUGGGCUCAACCCAUAAACUGCUUUCAAAACUGUUUUUCUUGAGUAGUGCAGAGGUAGGCGGAAUUCCCGGUGUAGCGGUGGAAUGCGUAGAUAUCGGGAGGAACACCAGUGGCGAAGGCGGCCUACUGGGCACCAACUGACGCUGAGGCUCGAAAGUGUGGGUAGCAAACAGGAUUAGAUACCCUGGUAGUCCACACCGUAAACGAUGAUUACUAGGUGUUGGAGGAUUGACCCCUUCAGUGCCGCAGUUAACACAAUAAGUAAUCCACCUGGGGAGUACGACCGCAAGGUUGAAACUCAAAGGAAUUGACGGGGGCCCGCACAAGCAGUGGAGUAUGUGGUUUAAUUCGACGCAACGCGAAGAACCUUACCAAGUCUUGACAUCCCUUGACAGACAUAGAAAUAUGUUUUCUCUUCGGAGCAAGGAGACAGGUGGUGCAUGGUUGUCGUCAGCUCGUGUCGUGAGAUGUUGGGUUAAGUCCCGCAACGAGCGCAACCCUUAUGGUCAGUUACUACGCAAGAGGACUCUGGCCAGACUGCCGUUGACAAAACGGAGGAAGGUGGGAAUGACGUCAAAUCAUCAUGCCCUUUAUGACUUGGGCUACACACGUACUACAAUGGCGUUAAACAAAGAGAAGCAAGACCGCGAGGUGGAGCAAAACUCAGAAACAACGUCCCAGUUCGGACUGCAGGCUGCAACUCGCCUGCACGAAGUCGGAAUUGCUAGUAAUCGUGGAUCAGCAUGCCACGGUGAAUACGUUCCCG
rnacentral:rRNA from 1 species